GUGUUCGUAGGAAGGAGAGACGGUUGGCAUCUCCCCUGGCAAGGGAUGGGAUUGGUCUUCGGACUCGUUUCGACGGAUCUUACCCAAAUUUUUUU
rnacentral:ncRNA from 1 species